GAAAGUAAGAGUUAUUAAGAGUCUACUUUACUUGCGUAAAGGCAUCCAUCAACAAAAUUAUAUCCUUGGAUCCAAAAUUAAUUAAGAGGUUUCCAUAUUGUUCAGCACCGUAUCCCAGCCAUCUGGAGAAGAUAUUCGAGAUGAUGGAAAAUGGGAUGAAAAAUUGUAUUCCUUUAUGAACUUCCUAAAUUCACCAAUCCUAACAACCGAUGUUUAAUAUGUUUUUUGUAGAAUAGCAACAUUUUAUUAAGACAUUCUACUAGAACUCUGAUUAGAUCACAUGUUUCUUCAAGACUGGAAAAUAUAUUGUAGCAGAAACAUUUCUGAGUGACAAGCAAUUUCAUUAAAAGGUACAAACCAUA